AGUUUGUAGUCCUCGGCGUCAGGAGUGAACGCGUGGCGGCGGUGCCUAACACAUGCGAGGUCGGAACGGGGUCGUUAGUUGUCGGAAGUUUUACGGGUAUGGAAGGAGUUAAGACUUAGUGGCGGACGGGUGGAGUAACGCGUGGGUAACCUGCCCUGUACAGGGGGAUAACAGUUGGAAACGGCUGCUAAAACCGCAUAACAUGGAGAUACCGCAUGAUAUUUCCAUCAAAUAUUUAUAGGUACAGGAUGGGCCCGCGUCUGAUUAGCCGGUUGGCAGGGUAAUGGCCUACCAAAGCGACGAUCAGUAGCCGGCUUGAGAGAGUGACCGGCCACAUUGGGACUGAGACACGGCCCAAACUCCUACGGGAGGCAGCAGUGGGGGAUAUUGCACAAUGGGGGAAACCCUGAUGCAGCGACGCCGCGUGAGUGAAGAAGUAUUUCGGUAUGUAAAGCUCUAUCGGCAGGGAAGAAAAAGCGCGUGAGCGCCCUUGACAGUACCUGACUAAGAAGCCCCGGCUAACUACGUG
rnacentral:rRNA from 1 species